CUUCUCUCUCUCUCUCUCUUCCGUCACCGCCUUUCUCUCGCCUCCCAACACGAAUCAUUUAGUUUUCUCCGGUUCUUUUUAUUUGGAAGUCGGUGCUUCAAUUCAGACUAUCUUCCUCCUUCGACAACCCACUUCGCAACCAACCCAACCGACGACAUGGUCAUAUAGCAUCGGUGGCUUCCUCCUUCGAACCUUUACUCUUCCCUUCCCCUCCCCCCAACCCAUGGAGAGAGAGCCAUUGCUCCCCAUAAAAACCACUUCCCCGUCGGCGGCAUCUUCCCCAUCUCUCCCCUCCCACCGAAGGAAACCCUCCCUUCCUCCUUCCACUCCCACGUCCUCCUCCUCCUUCGCCCUCUGCCCUCUCCCCGAGGACGGCGAGAUCUCCCUCCCCAUCUCCUCCCCUAGCGCCGCCGCCUCCUCGUCCCUCAAGGACCGCCUCAUCUUCGGCUUCCCCUCCCCCGCCGACCUUCACCACGACGACGCCGCCGCCGCUGCCCUACCCCCCUCUUCCCCUCCCGCAUCCCCCAACGCCAUCCCUAUCCCCGGCAGCCCUGGCCCCAAUCCGCUCUCCUCCGCCGCCGCCGAUGCCUGGCUGAGCGACCCCUCUGCCGCGCGAUGGAAGACCAAUCUCCAUCGCUCCCGCACCGCGCCGGCCAUGUCCGCCAUCAACGAGGUCGGCCCCUCCCGGGUCGACUCUCCCGGCCGGCCCUCCAUCAUCGCCCAGGCCUUCCUCCUCCUCGUCGUCUACCUCGCCUUCGGUGUCGCCGUCUACACCUUUAACCGACACCACUUCACCGCCGCUGAGACUCACCCAGUCGUCGACGCUCUCUACUUCUGCAUCGUUACCAUGUGCACCAUUGGCUACGGCGACAUCACCCCCACCACCGCCUCCGCCAAAAUCUUCUCCAUUACCUUCGUCAUCAUCGGCUUCGGAUUCGUUGAUAUCCUCCUCUCCGGAAUGGUGUCCUACGUGCUCGACCUUCAGGAGUCCCUCCUCCUCUCCGCCGUCACCAAGCCGGAGAAGGUAGACGACAAGAAGAAGCACAAGCAGCAGCAGCAGCAGGACCACCACCACCACCACCACCACCGGCACGAAAUCGCCCGGAACUAUAUCAUCGACGUCAAGAAGGGGCGGAUGCGGAUUCGGAUGAAGGUCGCUCUUGCCCUCGGUGUCGUCCUUCUCUGCAUCGGCCUUGGCACCGGCGUGCUCCGCUUCGUCGAGCGUCUCGGAUGGCUCGACUCCUUCUACCUCUCUGUGAUGUCGGUCACCACGGUCGGCUACGGGGAUCGGGCGUUCAAGACGAUGCCGGGUAGGCUGUUUGCGUCGCUGUGGCUCCUUGUCUCCACGCUAGCCGUUGCGCGUGCUUUCCUCUACCUUGCUGAGGCGAGGAUCGAUAAGAGGCAUAGGAAGAUAGCAAAAUGGGUGCUCUCCAGGGACAUGACUGUCUCGGAGUUCCUUGCAGCUGAUAUCGACAACAAUGGCUUUGUCACAAAAGGAAUGUUUAGUUGGAGCUACUAUCAAAAGAUAUCAACUGGGUAUGGUUUGAAGGAGGUUUUGGAUUGGCCUGGAGAAAUUGGUUACCACCUUUAAUAUGAAUGAGCUACAUCAAAUUCUGAGCUAGUGUUUUGAUAUAUUGAUACUGGCUACAAGGGAUCAUUCUCUUCCAUAGCUUGGAUGAAAGGAGGCCCUGGACAUCUGAUGGUUGACCUAAGUGUAACUGGGAAGAGACAAUUACUGCUGUUUGUAUUUUCUAUCAGCCUUCUGGUUAGAUGGUUGAAAUUCACCCUCAUAUUCUGAGGUAUCCUGCUGGUUUGAUGUUCAAACUUCAAAUAAAUGAUCGUUGAUUACUGAAUUCAACUGGCUCAAGAAUGUAAUUGUACCUUCUGUAUGAGGUUCUGGACCAUAUUACAAUGAUGCUGAUUCUGGAGGCCAUGGAAAAUAUUCUAGGUUGUUUGACUAUAAACUUUGCGAAGGAUGAUUAUCUGCUGCCUAUGAAAGUUGAAGAUGUAUUAGAGUAUAUUCCCGUUUGCAUCUCAGUACAAGACACCUGUAAAUCAGAGUUUGUAAUUUACAAGCUCAAGGAGAUGGAGAAGGUAACAGAGACGGAUAUCAUGCUGAUAUGCAAUCAGUUUGAUAAACUAGACACUGGAAAAUGUGGAAAGAUCACGCUUUCGGAUCUCAUGAGUCAU